CCUACGGGGGGCAGCAGUCGGGAAUAUUGCGCAAUGGAGGAAACUCUGACGCAGUGACGCCGCGUAUAGGACGAAGGUCUUCGGAUUGUAAACUAUUGUCGUUAGGGAAGAGAAAGGACAGUACCUAAGGAGGAAGCUCCGGCUAACUACGUGCCAGCAGCCGCGGUAAUACGUAGGGAGCAAGCGUUAUCCGGAUUUAUUGGGUGUAAAGGGUGCGUAGACGGGAAAUUAAGUUAGUUGUGAAAUCCCUCGGCUCAACUGAGGAACUGCAACUAAAACUGGUUUUCUUGAGUGUUGGAGAGGAA
rnacentral:rRNA from 1 species